GACGAACGCUGGCGGCGUGCUUAACACAUGCAAGUCGAACGGAAAGGCCCUGCUUUUGUGGGGUGCUCGAGUGGCGAACGGGUGAGUAACACGUGAGUAACCUGCCCUUGACUUUGGGAUAACUUCAGGAAACUGGGGCUAAUACCGGAUAGGAGCUCCUGCUGCAUGGUGUGGGUUGGAAAGUUUCGGCGGUUGGGGAUGGACUCGCGGCUUAUCAGCUUGUUGGUGGGGUAGUGGCUUACCAAGGCUUUGACGGGUAGCCGGCCUGAGAGGGUGACCGGGCAAAAUGGGAACGGGGAUACGGCCCAGACUCCAAGGGGAGGAAGAAGGGGGGAAUAUGGAACAAGGGGCGGAGGCUGGAGGAAGAAACGCCGGGGGCGGAUGACGGCCUUCGGGUUGUAAACCGCUUUCGCCUGUGACGAAGCGUGAGUGACGGUAAUGGGUAAAGAAGCACCGGCUAACUACGUG
rnacentral:rRNA from 1 species